UACGUAGGGCGCAAGCGUUGUCCGGAAUUAUUGGGCGUAAAGAGCUCGUAGGCGGUCUGUUACGUCCGCUGUGAAAACCCAGGGCUUAACCCUGGGCUUGCAGUGGAUACGGGUAGACUAGAGGCAGGUAGGGGAGAAUGGAAUUCCCGGUGUAGCGGUGAAAUGCGCAGAUAUCUGGAGGAACACCGGUGGCGAAGGCGGCAUUCUGGACCGAUAUUGACGCUGAGGAGCGAAAGCCAGGGGAGCAAACGGG
rnacentral:rRNA from 1 species